ensembl:lncRNA
UUUUGUUUUGUUUUUCUUUUUUAAACCAAUCAUAUUGUUGUCAUUCUGUGAGACAUGCACGAGGGGGGUGACUAAACCUGGUGCCUUCUGUAGCCAGGCCUGAGCUUUGGGAUGUGUUUGGGACACCAUAAGGAAGGGGCUGUGACUUGCACUGCUGUGUGCCACAGCAUCUCCGAGCUGCUGGGAAGCAGCCUUACGUGAGAGCCUGAUGUCACCCACAGCCACGCGGGUGUGGGGGCAGAACUGCCGCCAACCUGGCUUCUAAAUCAGUCCUCUUGAUCAGAAACAAAGGAACUCCUUUCUCUUUUUAUUUUCCCCACUUGGCCUUCCUCAUUGGCAUAACUUAAAUACUGCUGGUUGGUGGCCACUGAAGGCUCCCGAGGAGGGGGUGAGCUCACCUGCAGCUUGUGUGCCCGGCCCUGUGCCGCAUCCUGCAGCAGGGAGGAGCUGGGCUGUGCGGGGCUGCAGCUCCAGGGCAGUGCUGCAAUGGGCCCCACUGCCCGGGGCUGGCAGUGCGUGGCUUUGGUCUGUCGGUGGGUGUGUGUAUGUACUGCGGGGGCAGACGGAAUGGAGAAAGUCGCAUUUCUCAUGUUCCAAAAGGGGCAGUGCCAGCAGUCUCGCUGUGCCUCGAGCUUAGGUGUUUGUGCACUUACCUUAGAGGGAGAGGAACUGGAUUAAAAUACGUGAUAAUCGUAUCUCGUGGUUCAGUCCUUCUUCUGAGUCCAGGGAUGAGGACUGGAGGUCAGGGCCCGCUGUCGGAAGAUACAAAUACACGUCACUCCAAAGUGGAGGAACUCCCAGGAAACACCUCAGAGGUUUCCAUGUCCCUCACUCACCCCAACCACAGCCUCUCCUUUUCCUCAGAGGUUUUCUCCCGUGGGUUUAGAAACGAGGCUGCUGUUUCCGUAGCUGAGCAGGCGUUAGGUUGUCCCUGUCAGGUCCCGCUGCUGCUUUCUCCUGCACAUCAGCUUACACGGUGCUGUCGGCCCUCCACUCCCACGGUGCGUUAAAGCCUCCGUCAUCUCAGCCCUCCCGCUCACACCAUGGAGACUCACUGUAAAUACACGGAGGAGACGUAGAUCAGUCGCAGCGUAGACUUUGGUUUCAUGGAGCUCCGAGUACAAAUUUGUAUAUUUCUCUUGUACAUUUUUAUGUAGCCAUUAAAUGCUCUAUUUAAUCUAUCAGUUUCUCACUGUAAAUGUUUUUACUCAGUUGAAUGCUGGGCACAGUUUGUAAUGUAUGGACACAAAGGUGUUUUUUUCUAUCAGCGUUGACUUUUUUGCACAUUUUUGGAACUAUUUAAUUUGUACACUGAUUUACUACUCUGACCAAUUGUCGAUGGGUGCGUGCGAGCCACGUGUGUGUGCAAUGUACUACUGGUGGGUGGGGGGGGGGAGGGGUUGACUUUGGAGACGUCUCUGUUGGUAACGGCGUGCACUGCUGGUGCGGCUUCCUAUGGCACCUCGUGUGUGAAACCGGCAUCUGAAAGGAGGGCCGCGGGGUCCCGGGGGCAGCUGGGAGUGCGGCGCUGCUGCCGCCAUUCCUCGUCCCACAGCUGCUGCACUGUACAGAAGCAGAACCCCCAGCCCUGAGACUGUGUGCAGUGCGGGGUGUGUGUGUGUGUGUGUGUGUGUGUGUGUGUGUGUGUGUGUGUGUGUGUGUCCCGUGAUCUUAUUCCACAGUUUCGUUUCUACAUUUUUAUGAACUUGUUUUUUAAGGGUACUAUGUUUAGUUAGGAUAAUUAAAUAUAUAAAAGCUUUGAGAGAUAAUUUACUAGAUGAAUAUAUUUUCAGCUGGCUGAUGUUCAAAAUAUUUUUUUAAUUUUUUGUUUUUAACCAUUCGAAAUGUAUUUGUAUUUCCGAAAUCAGACACGAAUUGUACUUAGAACUAUAUUAAAACACGC